rnacentral:rRNA from 1 species
UAACAAGGAUUCCCCUAGUAACUGCGAGUGAAGCGGGAAAAGCUCAAAUUUAAAAUCUGGCAGUCUUCGGCUGUCCGAAUUGUAGUCUGGAGAAGUGCUUUCCGCGCUGGACCGUGUAAAAGUCUCUUGGAAUAGAGCGUCAUAGAGGGUGAGAAUCCCGUCUUUGACACGGACAACCAGUGCUUUGUGAUGCGCUCUCAAAGAGUCGAGUUGUUUGGGAAUGCAGCUCAAAAUGGGUGGUAAAUUCCAUCUAAAGCUAAAUAUUGGCGAGAGACCGAUAGCGAACAAGUACCGUGAGGGAAAGAUGAAAAGCACUUUGGAAAGAGAGUUAAACAGUACGUGAAAUUGCUGAAAGGGAAACGCUUGAAGUCAGUCGCGUUGUCCAGAACUCAGCCUAGCUUUUGCUUGGUGCAUUUUCUGGUUAACGGGCCAGCAUCAAUUUUGACUGUUGGAUAAAGGCUUUGGGAAUGAGGCAUUCGAUUCGUCGGAUGUGUUAUAGCCCUUGGUUGCAUACAGCAGUUGGGAUUGAGGAGUGCAGCAUGCCUCUAUGCUCGGGGUUCGCCCACGUUCAUGCUUAGGAUGCUGGCGU